AUUGAACGCUGGCGGCAGGCCUAACACAUGCAAGUCGAGCGAGCGGCGGACGGGUGAGUAAUGUCUGGGAAACUGCCUGAUGGAGGGGGAUAACUACUGGAAACGGUAGCUAAUACCGCAUACCAUCAGCUGUGCCCAGAUGGGAUUAGCUAGAUGGUGGGGUAACGGCUCACCUAGGCGACGAUCCCUAGCUGGGCUGAGAGGAUGACCAGCCACACGAGAAAGUGGACACGGUCCAUACUCCUACGGGAGGCAGCAGGGGGGAAUUGUGCACAAUGGGCGCAAGCCUUAUGCAGCCAUGCCGGGUGUAUGAAGGAGGCCUUCGGGUUUUAAAGUACUUUCAGCUGGGGGGCGUUUCCCGCAGAAGAAGCACCGGCUAACUCCGUGCCAGCAGCCGGGGUAAUAC
rnacentral:rRNA from 1 species